GCCUAACCAGGAAAAAGUUUUAUGGCAGGGGCAGGAUGAGACUCAAGCUCCAGAAGCAACACUAAAUUGCCUUAUUUGUGAGAACACACCCAUCUUUUGCCUGCCUCACCCACCACAUGCUGUCCUGGUGUAGCUGAAAACAACCUUCAUCACUACAAUCUGCUGGGAAGUUGUCACAAGAGUAGCUAUUUGCAAAGCAGCAAGGAAUGCUGAGAGCUGUGACUCAAUUCCAGACCUGUUUUUCUGGGGUGACAGCACUCAUGAGUAGAGUCAAUCCCUGCUCUCUGCUGCACUGUUCACAUCUCCUCUGCUUUCUGGAUGGAUACACACACAUCCCUGGAGCUCUGUCACUGAGAGCUGCUUCCUCUGGAAUACCUUACCUGUGUGGAUAUUAAAAAUGCACUUGGGAA